rnacentral:lncRNA from 1 species
AAUCUAGACGUCGAACCAGACGGUUUGAAACGAAUUCUUAGGUUUUUCACGGACAACCCGCAGCUAGAGGGCGCCUUGGAAACGGUCAAUUUAUUGAGUAACAUCAAGUAGAAUGUCGCAUUUAUUUUAGAAAGAUGCAAUUGCUCUCUCCUUACCCAUGGGUUUCGAUGUUGGACCUACAAAGUACAAUAUUGUCCUAGUUAUGUAAUUGAUUUGACCAAGUAUUUGCAAGUUUAUGCCGUAUUAAAAUAUCGCAUUGAUAGGAAAAUUUGAGAGUAGCAAGGACUAAGGAAUCAAGUGACAUCUAUUGGACGCGGUCAACGUCAAAAAUCUACAUAGAUGAUAAGGACUAUCGAUUAAAUUUUAAUUCGGUAAGGUGAGCAAAAGAGUUCUUGUGUUCAGUUUAGCUCAUAGUAUACCUUAAGAUAAGUGCGGGGGAGGGGGGGGUUCCGUUUUGUUAUAAGUGCCUCUUAAAUUUUUACCUGUGAUAUACUUUAUUUGAAGUAGUCAAAACCAGAAAGUCUUGAUUUUUUUCUCCUUUGUGCCAAUAUACACAUUUCUUAUGUAGCAGCUAAGAAGGAACAUGUUGCCUUUAUCAUAUUCUCACCUAACAAUCACAUUUUUUUUAGCAGUUCUGCAAAAGUUUAGCCUCAGUCUCGCCAUUGGUGUUCUCCUCUGUUCUAGAUGUGCAAAGAGUUUCUUUUAAUUUUAUUUGUACUUAAAUUAAAUACUUGGCAAGUUUGUGCACCAUGGCAAAGAGAAGAGAUGAUUCAAGGUGUACCUACCGUCGUUCCUAAUUUAUAAUUUUAUCAUGUCUGAAUUUCAAAGCUCUUAGAAUAGAGUUUUUUUCCCCGAUCAAAAUUGAGCACAGUCUAUUACCAAUUUAGUACAAAUAUUUUUGAAUACAUUCCUCAUUUUUUUCUUUUUAACAUUUUCCAUUUUUCCAUGACACUAAAUCAUUGUGUCGCUGUACACCUUACAUUCUCGCUUAAUUAACAAGCGUAAAUUACAAUUAUUUUUUUACUAAAUCAAAUUUUUGUAUUCCUGAGGGAAAUUUAAUCAAAUAUGAAAAAUGGAAAUGGUCAGGUGUGUUUCCCAAAUUGUUUUUCGGGAAAUGUUUACCGCAAAAUUUACUCCUGUGUUACAUCUCGUCCCAUUCUGAUAUUUUAAUUUUUUUUUUU